GAGGGUAUAGCUCAAGUGGUAGAGCACAUACUUAGCAGGCACAAGGUCCUGGGUUCAAUCCCCAGUACCCCCU
rnacentral:tRNA from 1 species